rnacentral:rRNA from 1 species
UACGGAGGGGGCUAGCGUUGUUCGGAAUUACUGGGCGUAAAGCGUACGUAGGCGGCUUUGUAAGUUAGAGGUGAAAGCCCGGGGCUCAACCCCGGAAUUGCCUUUAAGACUGCAUCGCUUGAACGUCGGAGAGGUGAGUGGAAUUCCGAGUGUAGAGGUGAAAUUCGUAGAUAUUAGGAAGAACACCAGUGGCGAAGGCGGCUCACUGGUCCGGUACUGACGCUGAGGUGCGAAAGCGUGGGGAGCAAACAGG